rnacentral:misc_RNA from 1 species
AAAGUCGUAACAAGGUUUCCGUAGGUGAACCUGCGGAAGGAUCAUUAGAAUGAGAGCCGGACCAUGUCGUGGGCGAAAGCUCGCACGUGCCAGUAAGCGCCCGUAAACCCUCCACCCUUGUGUAUUAUUCUUCUGUUGCUUUGGCAGGCCGGCGACCGUCUGGGCAGGAGCCGCUUGGGCCUUUCGGGCCUGGAAGAGUGCCUGCCAGAGGACCAAACUCUGUAAUUUAAUGCCGUCUGAGUACUACGAAAAUAGUUAAAA